CCCCUAGAUGUUCUGGGCCGCACGCGCGCUACACUGAACAGUUCAACAAGUCUUAACCUUGGCCGAUAGGUCUGGGUAAUCUUUGAACGCUGUUCGUGAUUGGGAUAGACCUUUGCAAUUUUUGGUCUUCAACGAGGAAUUCCUAGUAAACGCAAGUCAUCAACUUGCAUUGAUUACGUCCCUGCCCUUUGUACACACCGCCCGUCGCACCUACCGAUUGAAUGGUCCGGUGAAGCCUCCGGAUUGGCGCGCACCUCGGUGCCGCCGAGAAGUUGGCUAAACCUUACCAUUUAGAGGAAGGUGAAGUCGUANCA
rnacentral:rRNA from 1 species